UUCGUUUGUGAAGAAACACACAAGUUUUCAGUCUACACAGAUUCAAAUCAAGUUGUCGUAUGAAAGAAUAAAUACGAAACUUUCGACGUUAUUUCGGAAUGCGUUGAUGGAGUCUAAUUUUACAAAUUGUUGAUACAUUGCUUUACAUAAAGUAUGGGAGAUGUAUAGUUCUUGACCGCGGAAUUGAAAAAACGAAGGCUCACUUAAUAUAACUUAGUACUUGUAUGUAAAAUUGAAUGUAAUUUUAUGAGUGUUGCAAUUAUUUAUCGCAAUGUAUACUUUUCACAAUAAUAUUGUUUGGAAAAUGCUUUC